rnacentral:lncRNA from 1 species
GCUGGGCCUGAGUCAGGGUUUAGUGCAAGACUGGAUGACAUGUAUCCUGGCUUCCAAAGGAAAAUGGCUGAGCUGUACUGUGCUUUCAGUGUUUCUGUUCCAUUCUUCUGGGAAGAGAAUUUAUCUCACCAGCCCUGACUCCUUGUAACUGCUGUUACAGCUUCUCGCUUCCAAGAUUACACCUUGAUGAUCAUAAGGAAACUGGGGACCAGUGCAAAAAAAGAGAUUUGCCCAAGGUCACCCAGAGAGAAGUUGUG